rnacentral:rRNA from 1 species
CUUCCGCCGGCGACCGGCGCACGGGUGAGUAACACGUAUGCAACCUGCCCCUGUCAGGGGGACAACCCGCCGAAAGGCGGGCUAAACCCGCGUACAUGCCACCGGGGCAUCCCGGAGGCAGGAAAGGCUUCGGCCGGACAGGGAUGGGCAUGCGGCGCAUUAGCUAGUCGGCGGGGUAACGGCCCACCGAGGCGACGAUGCGUAGGGGUUCUGAGAGGAAGGCCCCCCACACUGGUACUGAGACACGGACCAGACUCCUACGGGAGGCAGCAG